CUCUGUAAACAGGAAUAGGUGCAACACCGGUCAGAGCUGGCAAGCUAAAGUUAGCUAGUUAGUCACAGAAAUGUACGUUCAGCCUGUUAAUUAUUUCAGUCCGAUUUGGCUUAUUUUACAAAGUCAGCAUGGUUUAACAUAGUUUCUUUCGUUUUUGACCUCGACAUUGUUGCUGGAUAGAUACUGUCAUAGCUAACAUGCUGGCGCUGCUAGCUAGCUAAUGCUAACGUCGCUAGCUAACCUCAUAUCUGGAUGCAUCACUCAAGUUCCGGAGAGAGCAACAUACUGGCCCUCUAUUCCCAACCCUGAAGCCCCCUGUCCCCAGCAGGAAAGACCAGGAAAAAGUGCUGGCUUAACUUCCUAUUGAGGAAAUAUCUGCCAACCUGCUCGGCGGGUGACAGGUAACCGUCUUUCCACCAAGCUGUUCCAGGCCUGGAGUGGCACGCUGGAACUUCCAGAGGCUUGUAGACCAGAAGCAGUUUGUUGUGGUCCAGAUUUGACACCCCUAUUAGCUCAACCACAGUCUUCACAGCUGCAGUCGUCUGCCCCUGCGUCUGCUACCCCGGGCCACGACAGGUGAUACAGAUCUGCCUCCCCCAGCAGUUCAGCUGCAGUCACAGCAGUCAUCUGCUGUGGUAUUUAAUUUACCGGCUGCACCAGUUCCUACUACACUGACCGUGAAGUGAGAAACUUUUGAGGAUACCUAGAUGGAUGCAGGUAUUUCAGAAUUAUAUUGCAUAUGCUCACUCACACCAACAGAUGUACACACAGACAUGUUGUUGAGCUGUUUACUUACUGUCACUUUGUGCAUCUCCACCACUGCCUGACAGCCUCACCCAAAAUUGCAUACACUGGGUCUAUCAAGACUGACAAGCAGAGAUGGGUGGCUGACAAGGAAAAAUAAAACAACAUGCACUCACACACACACACGAUCCACAAUGUAAAUAAGUUGUAAUUACUUGUUUAUUUAAUCUUUGCUCCAUUUUAUUUUAGGAUUGGAGAUAUCUACUCCUUCAUAUUCAUUCUGAAUAUCUACAUAAUUACUCUAAAUAUCUAUCAAAUCAGUGUAAUUGACAAUAUUGUAAAAGACUGUGGCUUAAUGUGUACAGUUAGAGGAACAUCUGUGCUUUUUUCUGAGUUGAAAAACAUGUCUCCCUCUCUCACACAUUGUCUAAUUUAAAUAAAUUGUAAAAACAUGUUUAUUUUAUGUAUGCUCCAUUUUAUUUGAGGAAAAAUAUCAGCAAUAAAGUACAUUCACAGUUAAAGCAAUGUCUUUGGUUUGUUGGAUAUUUCUCUGAAUACAAUGUGUGACCAGAAGGAAGUUGGCAGACCUGCAACCCUUGGACUGUGUAGGUUUUGUCAUCUGGAGCUGAAAAAUAGAGGGAUAGGUAGGGAGGGGAGGAAGAGUGCAGUUUAAAGGUUUAUCAUUAAUAACACACAAUUCUAUAAUGAAUUCAUAUUAGAAUAAUAAUACAUAAUAGGGUGACCAAUCACAGACCAAUACUGUGAUUGUUGAGUGUUUUAUUUACUCAAUCAAGUAGUGCCCAAGGAGGGAUUGAACCGUGUCUCAAAAGCAGCAGAAAAGGUCAAAUAAGGUCACCAAAAUUUCCAUUACGGCUAUACACGACUGGCCUCCACGCACGACACGGGGAUUAUUUAGCUAAAUAGCCCAGCACUGUAGCCUACUCCCGACCGUCACGUUGUACACCACCAUAUUUUCGGUUCCAUUCAGAGUUUUUUGUUUUUCUUGGAAUAGAAAUACCAUAAUAUUAAUCAAAUUAAGACAUCCACACGUAAAUACAUCAAUUACUCCUUAUCCCAAAAUGGGCGGCGAUUCGUGUGCAAGGUAUAUGAUUAAUGUCCUAUAAUGUAUCCACGAUCAGUGUUCUUUUCCUCUCUAUCCCCCUCCAUUUAUGUUGUAACAAGCCAUCAUAUCUUGUCAGUCCACUAGGGACUUUUGUCUCAUGUAUGUGUAUUCUGUGUUAUUAUUUAGUUAGUAAAUAAAUAAUGAAACCAAUUUGUAUAGUACUGAAUAAUCAGCAAAAGCUUGAGUUCUUGCAGAUCCAAGAAGGUUACAACUGUUCAGAAUGAGAACUGAUAUGAGGUAAUGAUUUAUAAGUGACUGUUAUCGAUAUAUAACUGUUAUCGAUAUAUAAUUUGUUAAUUGUUACAUGAUUAAUUUAAUUGGGUAAAAAUUUAACAACUUAUUUAUUCAAUCCAAUAACUAGCAGGUUAAUGAAAGUCACGUCACGACAGUGUUACAUUGAAAGUGGCUAAUAUUGCGUUGAUUAGAUCACAAUUGCCACA